rnacentral:rRNA from 1 species
AAAUUGAAGAGUUUGAUCAUGGCUCAGAUUGAACGCUGGCGGCAGGCCUAACACAUGCAAGUCGAACGGUAACAGGAAGCAGCUUGCUGCUUCGCUGACGAGUGGCGGACGGGUGAGUAAUGUCUGGGAAACUGCCUGAUGGAGGGGGAUAACUACUGGAAACGGUGGCUAAUACCGCAUAACGUCGCAAGACCAAAGAGGGGGACCUUCGGGCCUCUUGCCAUCAGAUGUGCCCAGAUGGGAUUAGCUGGUUGGUGAGGUAACGGCUCACCAAGGCGACGAUCCCUAGCUGGUCUGAGAGGAUGACCAGCCACACUGGAACUGAGACACGGUCCAGACUCCUACGGGAGGCAGCAGUGGGGAAUAUUGCACAAUGGGCGCAAGCCUGAUGCAGCCAUGCCGCGUGUAUGAAGAAGGCCUUCGGGUUGUAAAGUACUUUCAGCGGGGAGGAAGGUGUUGUGGUUAAUAACUGCAGCAAUUGACGUUACCCGCAGAAGAAGCACCGGCUAACUCCGUGCCAGCAGCCGCGGUAAUACGGAGGGUGCAAGCGUUAAUCGGAAUUACUGGGCGUAAAGCGCACGCAGGCGGUCUGUCAAGUCGGAUGUGAAAUCCCCGGGCUCAACCUGGGAACUGCAUUCGAAACUGGCAGGCUUGAGUCUUG